CACUUCAAGAGAGACGCAGCCGCAGACAUCUUCAAGAACAGGAACAUGGCA
rnacentral:snoRNA from 1 species